rnacentral:tRNA from 1 species
GGGAGAGUGGUGGAAUGGUAGACACGUCAGACUUAAAAUCUGAUGGCUUCACGGCUGUGAGGGUUCAAGUCCCUCCUCUCCUA